UAAAAUAGAGCAGCGGGUAUUUUGGAGACUGCUGAAGGUAGGUAGUCACUUACGAAUUCAUUCUGUGGCAUGUUGCCAACCAGAUCAUCAAACUUUCAUUGUAUAACUCACACAAUGCUGCAUUUGUUUACAGGUCUCAGUGUUGCCGUCCUGCUUUCGGGAAGCAAACCUGCAGUAUUAUAUGCUGUAGGUUUGAGGAAGCGAAUCUUCAAGAGGAAAAAUAUCUUUUCUCCCAUCUCCACGAGUUUCUGUUUUGUCUGCAUUUCUUUACUGUGUUACUUCUUGUCCACUCCAUGUGUUUAUCUCAUAUCUGGUAAAUGGAGGCUUCAACCCACGCUGAUGUAACUACAGAGUGAUCGGGAUUGCGGUUGGUCGACUUGUUCUAAAGCUGAGUGCUCAGCAUCCAUCCAUCUUCAUCUGUCCACCAACUCAAAUGCGGCUGCAUAUCAAUCCAUUUUGUAUUUACUUUCAGUUAUUCAUGAGACAGACAAUUCCUCUGUUCAUCAGGCCUGAUAAUCUAUGGAAGAGAUGGGGGUUUGGUCUGUGCCCGUACUCGUCCGUCACUCUUUAUAUAGAUGCUGUUACCUACAUGCCAUUCCCAAAGCCACCUCUGCUCUAGGGGUCAGGGGAGUCCAGAUGCUAUCUGACCCUUUUUUUUCAUGGCUUUCUUCACCCACUCAGUCCAUCCAGUUUCUCUCUCCCCUGAGUCUCCUGGCAGUUAGUAGUAAGUUACAGGAAUUCAGCUGGAUCUUUACUGUCUUUUGGAGCUCAAGGCCACACAUGGUUCUGGUCUCCCAAAACUUUAGAAGCUUAACUCACCUGACCUAAAUAUACAGUAAGAGCAGAUGCAACACAGAAUCAAGCUUCUGGUGUAAACAGAUGUGCUGUGGAACAUUAAUUCACUUUCACAAGAAUAUAUAAAUAAGCCUGGGUGCUUUGUGCCAUGUUAACAUGCUCUCCUAUAUAUGGAGUUCCAAAUGAAUGUUUGGGAGAAGCUUGUGUAUCUAGCCAUCAUUCAUCACACAAGGCUGUUUAACUUACAGCUGUGAUAAUUCAUCUAGCAUUUGACUCACAAUUUACUGGUUUUCAAUUUGUUUCUAAACUGAGCGUUUUUUUUUCUGUUUACUUUGUGUUGCUUUUGCUUUUUGUUUCGUUUUUGUUAAAAAUGUAGAAAAAUUGAACCUGUAAUAUAAAUAUCACAACAUAAAAAUAACAUAAUCCGACUACUUUUACCCAAUGUUACGAUUAUUUUGUCCAUGUCACAAUUUAAUAUGUAUAUAUUUUAAACAUUGCAAUGUUAUUAGAUGAAUCAUGAUUUAUUUGUUUCUUUGAAUAUGAAUCGGCAGGAUUUUUGAGUUUGACAGUAAAAAUCGCUAAAAAGUGCAUUGAAUUCAAAUAUUAGGAAAGAGUAACCAUACUUUGGUCCAUCAUGUGGACAUAUGGUCCAUAACAUAUCACAUGGUCCAACAUAGUUCUGUAAACUUUUUAACAUUUGUUAGAUUUUCAGCAUGAUGUUCACUUGUUUUUGUGUUUUUUUUUUCCUUAGGAGAGGAAAGAAGCACAGUAUAAUCCUGAGAACACAGCUGUCUGUCAGAGUCCAUGUCUGCAUAGGUGAGUAACAAGAUGCUGCUUCCCUGUAAUUAAACUAUAAAUGGCGAGAAAAACAUUUUGUACUUAAUCUUCAUGCUUUUAAAUUUCUGGCUCAGUCAGCAGAUUCUGGCUGCAUCAGAUUGUUUAGGAAUCAUUUUCUCAUUUGUUGCUUGUUGAAUGACGGAUGUGUAAAUUAUACGUACCGUGGCCCCUGCUUGAUUUUUACUGUGUGGUAAAGUUUUCCUCUUGCUAAUAGGCCCUCACGCCGCAACAUUUAUGAUCUAGUUUAAAUAUGUUCCAUGCUUGACUUCUCAAUCGAUAUAAAACAGCGAAUGCAGCAACUUUAUAUGAAAGCCUGGGUAGUGCUUUACACACAAACACACACACACACACACACACACACACACACACACACACACACACACACACACACACACACACACACACACAACAACAACACACACACACACACACACACACACACACACACACACACACACACACACACACACACACACACACACACACAAGUUGUCAAGAAUAUUGGAGUUUAAAACUUUAAAAUCUAAUUCUGUUUUAGGCUUUUUAAUUUAUAACCCGUGUGAUCAGUUUCAAAAACACUCACAAAUUUGCCAAGGCAUCAUUUUUCUGCCAGAAUAUAAAAAGUAGAUUGACUGUAGCAUGUUUGAACUCAUGUUUUCUUUCAUAGUUACUGUAUACUGUAUUUCUUCACAAUCUCGUUGUUUAUCUCAUGUCCCUAAACCCUGUUGACAGAAUCAGGCUUCAUUACCUCCAUAAGCCUUAUCCCAGAUUAACUUCUGUGCCACUGUGUGGAAGCAGGACAGCUAUGGCUAUAUCUGUGUCACAAAGGAUUAAAUGUCACAGACAGCACCCACAAAACCCAUUAAUAUAUAAACUGUGUUGUUUCUCUGGAAGUGCAGUAUGCAUGUAACUCACUUCACCUUUCCCUUUUCCCUCAAAUGCUGGAUGGAUGGAUGGAUGGAUGGAUGGAUGGAUGGAUGGAUAGAUAGAUAGAUAGAUAGAUAGAUAGAUAGAUAGAUAGAUAGAUUCUAGCACACGUUUAUCUACAACUGCGGUUGGCUGCUUUACGUGUCAGUCAGUUGACCUUUUCAUGUUUAAACGGGCGGUUUUUGGCUGGAAUAAUCUGCAAUGUGGACCAGACUUCAUGCCGACAGUCAAACGUCUAAGUGAUUUACUGCUGUUGUCUACAGGAACUGGUAGUCAGUGUUUAAGACAAGUGUGUGUCUGUAGCGAGCAGUAUAAACUUAGUGGCGUGCUGCACUGCAGCCAAGCACACGUGGCUCGUACAGUUUUCCCUCUCCUUCUGCAGGGGAAAAUAUAACCGUCAACCUGCAAAAGCCAUUAAGUUUAGAACUGUCAGGUUUUAAUUUGUACGUUUCGUAAAAGUGUUAUUUAAGGAUAUCAGGGACAAAAAUUGCCCCGUGAAAGAAGUGCAGUUAUCUCUCACAUUCAACUCCAUUUACUGAUCCUGCGUUCCUGAGGGAUUGCGGAACCAUUUGGAAACUCCAAAGCUGUUUUGCUAGGGGUAUUUUGGUCCAAAAAUAAAGUUGCUGAAACCCCUGGCAAGGUCUGAGAAUCUGUUGAGAGAGAUUUUAUGAACCAGAUCUGCUCAGACACCUGCCCGUGAGUCUUUUUCCCUUUCGUUCGCGCGCAAUUUGCGAACCAUGAAAGAGGGCAGCAUCUUAGCACUAAGUACCUCUUGUAACAAACCCUUCCAAGAAGCUUCACUUAUCAACAGCUCUGAAUGUUUGGUUAUUGAUUUAUGUCUUGAUAACAUACUUUGAGUGACUACGUUGUUUGUCUCUGUGGAAUCAAUGUUCCGUAUCUACGAUUUCAACCCGUAUGGAAAUGGCACCUUGAUAAGAGAACCACUAUGCUUUGCAGAUGUUGCCUUGCCUCUCUACAGCUUGUUGAAUGUUUUUCUGCCAUUCUAUCCUUUGUCCUGGGACCUGUCCUAAACCACGCUGCAUUCCUUGUAGCAAUGAUGAGAUCGCUUUUCUGACCAGCUGUGUGCUUGUGUGAUUGAAGGCCAAUCUGGGUCAAAGGUGGGUCCUGUGUGUGGGAGGUAAGGGGUUAGUAAGACUCUCUCUCUUGCUCUCUAAGCAGAUGACCCAAGAUGACAGCUGCUGCUCUUCAGGCUUAAAGUAUCUUUUAAAGUAUUUUUUAUGUACUGUUAUAGUAUUCAUUCAAAUUUUGAAUUGGGGUUUUAUUUUUUCAGUUUCAGUUUUUCAGUAUUUUUAGUUUGUUUUAGUGAUAUUAUGUGAUUUUUAUUAGUUUUCCUUUUUAUUUUAUUUAGAUGUAAUUCAUUUCAGUUUAGUAAUUUUUAGUGCUCUAUACAUAAUUAUAAACUUGUAAUUUGAAGCAGUUAAUACUCCUCAAUUAAAAAAAUUGCAGUGGAAUUGGUAAUUUCACUUUUGGAUUUCAAUUUGGUAGUGUUAACACUAGAAGCUUAUUGCAUUCUAAAUAAAUUAAAAUAUUAAAUUGAUCCAUUUUACAUGUAUUUUUUUUUUAAUUUAUUUAUUUUUUAUACUUUGUUAAAAAAGCUGUUAUGCAUCGUGGUUGUGCUAAAAUUGGUUCUGUUUUUUCCAGUUUAUUCAAUUACAGCCUUAUUUGUCACUGCAUGUAAACCUUGGGAGUUAA
rnacentral:lncRNA from 1 species